GGGAGGUUAGCAUUUCAUAUCAUACCCCUACGACAUGCUAAACUCUCACCAUUACAAUAACAGGGGAGGUUAGCAUUUCAUAUCAUACCCCUACGACAUGCUAAACUCUCACCAUUACAAUAACAGGGGAGGUUAGCAUUUCAUAUCAUACCCCUACGACAUGCUAAACUCUCACCAUUACAAUAACAGGGGAGGUUAGCAUUUCAUAUCAUACCCCUACGACAUGCUAAACUCUCACCAUUACAAUAACAGGGGAGGUUAGCAUUUCAUAUCAUACCCCUACGACAUGCUAAACUCUCACCAUUACAAUAACAGGGGAGGUUAGCAUUUCAUAUCAUACCCCUACGACAUGCUAAACUCUCACCAUUACAAUAACAGGGGAGGUUAGCAUUUCAUAUCAUACCCCUACGACAUGCUAAACUCUCACCAUUACAAUAACAGGGGAGGUUAGCAUUUCAUAUCAUACCCCUACGACAUGCUAAACUCUCACCAUUACAAUAACAGGGGAGGUUAGCAUUUCAUAUCAUACCCCUACGACAUGCUAAACUCUCACCAUUACAAUAACAGGGGAGGUUAGCAUUUCAUAUCGUACCCCUACGACAUGCUAACCUCUCACCAUUACAAUAACAGGGGAGGUUAGCAUUUCAUAUCGUACCCCUACGACAUGCUAACCUCUCACCAUUACAAUAACAGGGGAGGUUAGCAUUUCAUAUCAUACCCCUACGACAUGCUAACCUCUCACCAUUACAAUAACAGGGGAGGUUAGCAUUUCAUAUCAUACCCCUACGACAUGCUAACCUCUCACCAUUACAAUAACAGGGGAGGUUAGCAUUUCAUAUCAUACCCCUACGACAUGCUAACCUCUCACCAUUACAAUAACAGGGGAGGUUAGCAUUUCAUAUCGUACCCCUACGACAUGCUAACCUCUCACCAUUACAAUAACAGGGGAGGUUAGCAUUUCAUAUCAUACCCCUACGACAUGCUAACCUCUCACCAUUACAAUAACAGGGGAGGUUAGCAUUUCAUAUCAUACCCCUACGACAUGCUAACCUCUCACCAUUACAAUAACAGGGGAGGUUAGCAUUUCAUAUCAUACCCCCAAGACAUGCUAACCUCUCACCAUUACAAUAACAGGGGAGGUUAGCAUUUCAUAUCAUACCCCCAAGACAUGCUAACCUCUCACCAUUACAAUGACAGGGGAGGUUAGCAUUUCAU